rnacentral:rRNA from 1 species
GGGGAAACCCACCUGAAUGUCGGUUAUGAUUGCCUGAUGGCACUUCUUAAUCGGCAUAACCAGGUAUCUUAACCCUGAAUACAUAGGGGUUUUGAAGCGAACCCGGGGAACUGAAACUUCUAA